rnacentral:rRNA from 1 species
UAGGGAAUCUUCGGCAAUGGACGAAAGUCUGACCGAGCAACGCCGCGCGAGAGAAGAAGGUUUUCGGAUCGUAAAACUCUGUUGUUAGAGAAGAACAAGGACGUUAGUAACUGAACGUCCCCUGACGGUAUCUAACCAGAAAGCCACGGCUAACUACGUGCCAGCAGCCGCGGUAAUACGUAGGUGGCAAGCGUUGUCCGGAUUUAUUGGGCGUAAAGCGAGCGCAGGCGGUUUCUUAAGUCUGAUGUGAACGCCCCCGGCUCAACCGGGGAGGGUCAUUGGAAAAUGGGAGACUUGAGUGCAGAAGAGGAGAGUGGAAUUCCAUGUGUGGCGGUGAAAUGCGUAGAUAUAUGGAGGAACGCCAGUGGCGAAGGCGGCUCUCUGGUCUGUAACUGACGCUGAGGCUUGAAAGCGUGGGGAGCAAACAGG